UAAUACGAAGGGGGCUAGCGUUGCUCGGAAUCACUGGGCGUAAAGGGCGCGUAGGCGGACGUUUAAGUCGGGGGUGAAAUCCUGAGGCUCAACCUCAGAAUUGCCUUCGAUACUGGGCGUCUCGAGACCGGAAGAGGUGAGUGGAACUGCGAGUGUAGAGGUGAAAUUCGUAGAUAUUCGCAAGAACACCAGUGGCGAAGGCGGCUCACUGGUCCGGUUCUGACGCUGAGGCGCGAAAGCGUGGGGAGCAAACAGGAUUAGAUACCCUGGUAGUCCACGCCGUAAACGAUGGAUGCUAGCCGUUGGCGAGCUUGCUCGUCAGUGGCGCAGUUAACACUUUAAGCAUCCCGCCUGGGGAGUACGGUCGCAAGAUUA
rnacentral:rRNA from 1 species